rnacentral:lncRNA from 1 species
UGGGCUGCAAGUCAAAUUAGCUCUCCGUCAUCCUGCUCGCUGAGCGCACCGGAGGCUACUGCGGUAAGAUGCGGCGACGCACGAUGCCGAGCGGUGGAUGACAUGAUGCGCAAUGGCCGAACGAGUGGGGGGAGAGACCGAAAUUGGAUUCACUAACUGUGGUGUGCGGAUCAAAUUUAGACAAUAGGGCAGAAGCGAAUGCAUGUUUGACACAUUUGUAGUGCUGUAGCUCCAGUGGUGCAGGCCGACUGGAAGGAUGUGGUGGCGCUGAUCCCACUGAAGGAUGCUCCACAGCCCGAGGAGGGUUGAAUAGGCUUCGUCUGUAAACAACGAGGAAGCAGAGAGACAUUAAGUAAAGGACACAUAAUUCGGAAACACUGAGGCAUCGAAUGAGGUUGUUUUAUGACAGCUGAGUCAGCCCUCAGUGAUGAGAGAGUGGCCGACAGGGAGGGCGGUGAAGCUCUGAAGACGCCGUCACUGAGCGUCAGUCUGGAAGAAAACAAACCUCUCAUUAUCCUCUCUAUCAUCGGCGCUGACAGAUGGAUGUCUGACCUGGAUGUUUCUUUUCUUCACCUGGAGACUCUCAAAGUUAAGGAGCGAUAAAGGGAAACAUCACAUCUCCAGCUCGCUGUCAGGAAAACAACAUUCUAUGUUUAGUUUUGUUUGUCGGAAUGAACUCUUAAGAGAUUAGCAAAAGAGUCACCUCUCUCUUUGAGUGUCAAGUAAAUAUUUCGCCUUUAUCAGAAUGAAUCGGUGAGACAAGAGUAUUUCAGCUUUUUCAUACUGCUUAGUGUAUUUUUUCAAAACUAUGAUAUUUUUACCUUUUCAGCUGUCCCGCUCUGAAUCAAGAAUAGACUCUUGAUAGUGUCAGCGUUCUUUUUCACAAAUAGGAUUUCAACUUGACCUGACAGGCUGUAUUUUAAUAAAGCAUAAGCAAGGACAAACCAAUAAAACAUAGAUGAGGCCGACAACAAGCACCAUGCUCCAGCAGAAUAACAAUAACAACUACCCCUGCCUGAAUGUGUCAGGCUCCACCAGAGAGAUGCUCCAGAAGUGCUCCAGAGCCUCUCUGCCCUUCCCCAGCCGACUGGAGCUGGGCCUGGGAGACCUGCCACUGAUCCGGGGCCUCCGAGCCUGGGCCCUGUGCUCCAAGAACCGCCGGAAAGCCAGUGGUCUGCUAGGAGGAGGACAAGCCCCCAUAGCUCCUCCUGUGGGCCGCGGGGGUUCGACUUCCUGCCCCAAACCUGCAGAUGUGUACCUGAGCGGGGAGUGGGGUCGCAUGGGGUACGGGCUUCCCUUGGGGCUGGAUGCCAGGCAAGCUGGAAUCGGCGCUUUGGUAACAGUUGCCACUCUGAAGACUUCAGAGGGCAGCGGUAAGACACAGACUCAAUGCCUGUUCCUCCGGACUGAAAAAGGGAGCUGUUUGUACUCCACAGCUAAGCCCAGUUCUGGUGGGACUACCAGUGCAGCCUCCAGCGUGGUUGGGGGUUGGCUGAGAGGGAAGACAGGAGGAGGAGGAGGAGGCAGAGACAUCCCAGGCGGGAGGAGGGACAAUGGGCCAAAUCCGCCGGCACAUACUGGAGUAAACCGGGUUAGGGUGCGAUCUGGCCGGAGAUGGAGGAAGUCCAGUAAUGCAGCAGCCCGGGAGAAAACAGGCGCGAGCAGAGCGACUCAGCAGAGUAGCAGGGAGGAUCCUGCUGGAGAAAUCACUCUGGAAGAAAGGCAGGAAGAGCAAGACAAAGGAGGCCUGGCCAGUAAACAGUUUUCCAGCCCGCAGCAGGACAGCAAGAGAGCCAAACAGGAGAAAGAGGCAGCAUGCAGAAGUCCUAGAUGCUGCCACAAUGCUUCUCCAAAAACCUGUACUCGGUGUGGAAGGAGAGCACAGCGGAGGGAAAGCCAGAAUGGACACGAGAGAGGCGAAAGUCCAAGAAGAGGCACCUCGAACAGGAUGAACAUUGAGGUGAAAGGAAUGAGGAAGGAGAGGCAAAGGAAUGAGGAGGAGGAGAAGGGAGGCCUCUCCGGGUUAGAGUCAUCUAACUCGGUUUUGGCUGUACCAAACCCGAACCUUGAAUCUAACUACUUUCACCGAGAAUCCAACAGCAGCUGUGAUUUUGAAGAGAUUAGAGAAGCCGAGAGCAACAAGGAGCUGAAGACACAAACCUCUCACAGCAAGGACAACUGUUCAGAGAGAGAGGAGGAUACGAACUCUGACGUUAUGAAAAUACAUACAGAAAACAAUGAUUUAAUUCAUGGUCACUCUGGAACGCUCACUGAUGACGUUACCUCACGACUUAAAAGAGAUUUUGAUUACAGAAAGCCAAGUGAAAACCCCUGUGAAGAAAUAGCAGCUAAUCUGAAUGGAUUUUCUGAUCACGUGGAGGCAGAUCAAGAAUUGGAGAAAGAGAGGGAGAGUGUGGAUGUCGAAGAGGGGGAAGGGAGCAUCAAUCGGACUCCUGCAGAACUCUCGGCCGUAUCCGACUAUUCCACCUGCCCUGCCUCCAUCAGCACUGCAGUCUCCCUUGAGCCGUCCGCUCCUGUAGAGGGCAGCACCUGCAAUGUUGACCAUGAGACUUGUGUUCGAAGAGAGCAAGAGAUCAGCAGAGAAGAUCACCUUGAGAGGUAUCAACAAGGGGGUGUGGACCCAGGAAUCAUGGGUAAAGAAGAACUGGAUGAAAGUAGAUUUGACAAACGAGAACCAAACUGUGCGGUUGAGGAAAUCAACACAAACAGAAAACCAUGGCUUUUCUUUCAAAAGGCAGAAAACGGCAGCAAAAUAGAGGAAAGAGAAGCUUUGUCUUCACCUCCAGGACACGGAGAUCCUUCCAUCUUUGAUACAGACAACUGUAGUACAACUGAGCUUAACGGAGCAGAGCACAGAGAUGAGCUGGCAUGGGGAAAUAUAGAAGAGGAGUCACAGGAAGAGAAUAUAGAGAAGAGAGUAAACCGUGAGGAAGGGGAUGAAGCUGGGGAGAGUUGGAGGAGGGAGAGCAGCUUCAAUGAACUGGACAAUAGGGAGCGUAAAGGUGACAAAGAACUCCAGACUGAGCGUGACACAAAUGGCGAUGCCAUACAAGAGGAUAAUGAUAAAGAAGGAACGAGAAACUGUGCACUAAAAGACAAUCGGAGGCUGGAGGAGUCUGCGGACGCAUGCAGGGCAGGCAAGAAAGAGGUUGGAGACACCUGUGGACUAACAAGCAUCACCCAUGUUGAAGCAACUGGAUCCAUGGCAACCGGACUGCCAUGCCUGGAGGCAGAGAGGGAGAAUGAGGAGAAGGAAGGGGUCGGAGUGCCGGCAGGAGACGGAAAAGGAGGCCAGGAAGGGAAGAAAAGGCUCGGGAGACAAUUGGAGGAGAGGGGCUCCACCGUGGCCACUGAGGUGCGGAGGAAAGAGGAGGAGGGGAAGGAGGAAGAUGAGUUUGGAGUAUUCAUGCAUGCGGAGGGAGAGCCGGCUUGGAGCGAGGGAUACACCAUGUCUGCCUCAGUGCCUUGUGGGAGCAGAGAAAGUGUUGCACUUGGAAACAACGCCAUCACUGGGGAGUCGAACCACUGGACACCAGGCUGGACUGACAGCUCGUUCCACCAAUCAGACGACACGUGGACAGCCUUCCCUCAGGAUUCUUCGGAUGAAGGUCGAGACGUGGUGGGAAAGUGGUGGCAGACCAGCGCUGUGGAGAAGAGCAGAGACCUCUCGGCCAAUCAGAAUCUGGCGUCUGUCUUUGCUGAAGCCUUCCCCUCGCUGCCUGCUUCGUCCUCAACUGACCCCCGUGACCUCAACACUGUUCCCACACUGAGCCAACUCCUCAGGGGCAGAGACAGCCAGGACCAGGGGCCGUUGGACAGCUUCCAUGACUUGAACAAAAUGAUUUGCCAGAGAUACAAGAGAGCGAAUGGCGUGUCUCGUGAUCUGCUGCUGAGGACUUUACACCUAGAGCCGCUCCACACUGACAGCAGACCUGCUCCCUGGACAGCCAAUCGCCGUCUCUCACCCGGCCUUCCCUCAGCCAAUCAGAACGCUCAGAACGCUGCCGCUAAGCGACGGCUGUCGUAUGACUACAACAGAAACAUCAUGGAGUAACUGUGCGGGUUCAGCUCUGUUUGUACUGCGAUUCAUCAACUGACAGUUCGGACCGACACCGUGUUUCUCAAGACUGUGGAUUGACAACAUUUUUACUAUCUGUUAGUCAAAUACUGACUCACCUAUUGACUCUUUGCACUCUCUGGAUAACUAAGCCUGAGCCGGUGAGAAGAUAAAACUCAGAAAUGAAAAUGGAGCGACAGUUGUGUAUCAGAAGUUGUCUCCUCCAGCUCCUGUUGAUGUAUACUGGUGGAGUGUUUCCAUUACACAUGUGCCACCUUGUUCACCACCACCCUCCAUCCCUGAAGUUGUCCAUCCUGCAUUUUUUUUUUUUUUUACUCAGAAUAUUUAAAUUGUCCCUUGAUAGAAAUAUCUCUGUGACAGAGCUGCUGUUUUUGACAGAAAUGGUCUCAUUGUUUGAGUUAAUCUCAAUGGGUUGAGCCAGACAAAAACAUCGACUUGCAAGGAAUAAAUGAUAAGAAAAUAUAUAUCAUACAUGUUAUUUUUGCAUUCAUGAUUUUGCAGGUCAGCAUGCUUUGCUCACUAUCGUAUCUGUAUUGAUAUAGGCCAACAUUUCUUCCCCACUCUUCUCUUUCUAUUAACUUUUGCAAAAGAUGAGAUUUGUUAUCCAGAAUAUUGUCUCUGUGUCUCCACCAAAGCGCUGUCUAACUCAACACAUGAGAUUUGUUCAUCUUGUGGAGCAGCGCUGCCAGAAAGGCUGCAGAACGGAUGUUGUGUUCAUGUCACGUGGAAAUGGAAGAAAGCAAUAAGAGCAAAGGAUUUCUGUUACAACUUGCAAUCAUUGAAAUGAUCAGACAGUUCAAGAUGGCAACGUUACUGAUCGUGAAAUUUGCACAUUGAAAUAAUAAUUAUUCAGCACUGAACCUUUUGGGCGUUAAACGAUUAAUACAUUAUAAUUGCCAGAUUAGCAGUGAAUUAGUCGCAGUGAUGGAGCCAUUCAGGUUUUCUUUUUGUAAUUAUUCUGUAACAUGCUGUGUCAAGUAUAUUGGAGCUUUCUGAAAAACUACAUUUUUUAAUUAUAUUUACAAAUACAGUGACAAAAAGCUCCCAGAAAUGAUGCUUUUAUUUUGUUAGAGAAAAAAACAAGCAAUGACAUAAUGCUCCUUUUUGCUGUAACUCCAUUAAGACGGUAGCUUGACCAUGUAACCGCAGGAAAUCUUUAUUCAAACAUGCUGUAACCUCAACUCUCUACACCAGAAACCUGCAAUGUGACCGACUGUAUGGACGCAAACAUAUCUCUACAUGCUACAUUCAUGCUAUUGUCGAAGCUCAUUUCCUUCCCUUUCUCGUUUUUGAAAGAUAGAAGCAAAAGAAAAUCAUGUGAUCCCACUGGGGAGCAAAGUAAAGCAUUAUUUUUACUCGCAGAAUGCUGAAGAUGGGUCCAGGUGGGACGUGGCUUAUGAUUUUCCUUCACUUUUUUUGCAAAGCCUGCUUUCAUUGUGUAUUUGCUACAGAAUCUUUGGUUCCUCAGAGAAACGAGUUUGUCUUCCACUUAGUGCCAACAGGAACACCAAUGAAAGUGCCAAUGUAACGAAGCGAAGGAGACGUAGCCUCUUGUUUAUCAGACACACUGAAGUGGACUCCAACAAAUAUUCUGGCAUGUGACAAUGUCUUUCUUUAUCUCUGGCUUCCUGUCGGCCCCUUGUCCAUACUCAGUUGAGUCCACUUCACGGGACAAACUUGAAUCUAGCUGCCAAUCAAAACAAGGUCUUCAGAAUAUUGUUCACAUUGUAACCAUGUCGAUGAUGCACUGUACAUUUUUAAUUUAGACACACUACUACAUAUUAUCACCUCAGAUGGUUUAUUUCGCUCUACGUUGUAUAUUUCUCUUGUCAAUUUAAUGAUUUGUGGUGAAAUUCAGAAGUGUGUGUGUGUGUGUGUGUGUGUGUGUGUGUUUGUGCGUGUGUGUGUGUGUGUGCCAUUUGUACAAACUACAAAUUGCUGAAAAAGAUGAAUAUUUUCUGAUCUGUUCAAAUGUGGAGAAAGGAGUUGUAGCCUUGUUAACUGAUGUAAUAAAUUGAUACUGUGUGAUGGCUAACCGCUUCAGAAGUAUGUGACGUGUUCACUUUAAAAU